GGAAGUAAAAGUCGUAACAAGAUUUCCGUAGGUGAACCUGCGGAAGGAUCAUUAAUGAGUUGUCAUGGGGUUCGAUGCUGGCAGCCAAUUUUUGGAUGCAUGUGCUUGCCCUAACAAUCAUCUUCCAAACACCUGUGCGCAUUUUUGAGGGAGUCUUGAGUUGGUUGCCGCUCUUGGGUGAUUUUCUCACAUUCCCUUAAAUCAUUAUACGCUAUUAACAAUGUUGAACGUGCUCUGUGCCGCAAGGCUAUUAAUAUAAUACAACUUUUAACAACGGAUCUCUUGGCUCUC
rnacentral:misc_RNA from 1 species